rnacentral:rRNA from 1 species
CCUACGGGGGGCAGCAGUGGGGAAUAUUGCACAAUGGGCGCAAGCCUGAUGCAGCCAUGCCGCGUGUGUGAAGAAGGCCUUCGGGUUGUAAAGCACUUUCAGCGGGGAGGAAGGCGUUAAGGUUAAUAACCUUGGCGAUUGACGUUACCCGCAGAAGAAGCACCGGCUAACUCCGUGCCAGCAGCCGCGGUAAUACGGAGGGUGCAAGCGUUAAUCGGAAUUACUGGGCGUAAAGCGCACGCGGGCGGUCUGUCAAGUCGGAUGUGAAAUCCCCGGGCUCAACCUGAGAACUGCAUUCGAAACUGGCAGGCUAGAGUCUUGUAGAGGGGGGUAGAAUUCCAGGUGUAGCGGUGAAAUGCGUAGAGAUCUGGAGGAAUACCGGUGGCGAAGGCGGCCCCCUGGACAAAGACUGACGCUCAGGUGCGAAAGCGUGGGGAGCAAACAGGAUUAGAUACCCGUGUAGUC